CAGUGGUGACGGCUGGGGGAAUGACUCUUCUAGAUGGUGGUAGCUCCGGCCAGUGACUAGGCAGUGACUAGAAGUGUCCCUACUUUGUCUCUCUAUAUCUCUUGCCUUGGUUGAAAUUUAAGUGAAAUUCCAACACCGUCAAAAUGAGUAUGUCAUAAAGAUUCUGCAAACUGAAAUACUCAAUUUGCAGAGGAAGGUGCCGCUUUAAAAAAAUAAAUCAUGAAUUCAUGAUUGGUGGCCAGGGGGAGUUCUCAUAUUUCUCAAUAUGGGUAUUGGGCUAGUUUUCCCACAGCUCCAGAAUUGGCAGUUUAGAUAAUAUGCCCCUGCAAAGUGUCAAUCACAGUGUUACUCUCCAUUUGUAGGUUGAGGGAGGAGCCUAUAACUGCGCUGUCAUAAUGAAGUCACACAUUAAGAAUAAACCAGGCACUGUAAGGGCAUUUCCUCUGUAACAGCUCUAUAGUAUAUAUCAGAAAGACACUACGUCAGUAUGACUAUGUACACUAGAGGGCAGUAUUUCCCUCUCUCUAUGAACACACUCCAUUCACAAAGUAUCACAGAAUACAAUAAUGUAACACUGACUCCCAGUAAACUGAUACCAGUGUUAACCUGUGUAACCUAUAUAUUCUAAAACUAAUCCAUAAUGUUUUAACACCUAGAUGUAACCUGCCAGCUGCUCAGUGGGAUGUUGGCAUCUCAGCCACAUCCAAAUAUUCGGAGAUUAGAAAGUAGAGAGAUAUUUAAAGACGC